rnacentral:rRNA from 1 species
GCGGAGGAAAAGAAACCAACAGGGAUUGCCCUAGUAACGGCGAGUGAAGCGGCAACAGCUCAAAUUUGAAAUCUGGCGCAAGCCCGAGUUGUAAUUUGUAGAGGAUGCUUCUAGGUAGCGACCGGUCUAAGUUCCUUGGAACAGGACGUCAUAGAGGGUGAGAAUCCCGUAUGUGACCGGCCCGCACCUUCUACGUAGCUCCUUCGACGAGUCGAGUUGUUUGGGAAUGCAGCUCUAAAUGGGAGGUAAAUUUCUUCUAAAGCUAAAUACCGGCCAGAGACCGAUAGCGCACAAGUAGAGUGAUCGAAAGAUGAAAAGCACUUUGGAAAGAGAGUUAAAAAGCACGUGAAAUUGUUGAAAGGGAAGCGCUUACAACCAGACUUCUGGGCGGUGUUCCGCCGGUCUUUUGACCGGUCUACUCGCCGUCCCGAGGCCAACAUCAUCUGGGACCGCUGGAUAAGACCUCAGGAAUGUAGCUCCCCUCGGGGAGUGUUAUAGCCUGUGGUGAUGCAGCGCGUCUCGGGUGAGGUCCGCGCUUCGGCAAGGAUGUUGGCGUAAUGGUUGUCAGCGGCCCGUCUUGAAACACGGACCAAGGAGUCUAACAUCUAUGCGAGUGUUCGGGUGUCAAACCCCUACGCGUAAUGAAAGUGAACGGAGGUGGGAAGGGCAACCUGCACCAUCGACCGAUCCUGAUGUCCUCGGAUGGAUUUGAGUAAGAGCAUAGCUGUUGGGACCCGAAAGAUGGUGAACUAUGCCUGAAUAGGGUGAAGCCAGAGGAAACUCUGGUGGAGGCUCGCAGCGGUUCUGACGUGCAAAUCGAUCGUCAAAUUUGGGUAUAGGGGCGAAAG